rnacentral:misc_RNA from 1 species
AAGACUAUAGACCUGCGGAGUACCUGCGGAAGGAUCAUUACCGAGUUUACAACUCCCAAACCCCUGUGAACUAUACCUUUAUGUUGCCUCGGCGGCGUCUGCUUCGGCGGCCCGCCAGAGGACCCAAACUCUUGUAUUUGAAUUGAGUAUUCUCUGAGUGAUACAAGCAAUAAAUUAAAACUUUCAGCAAUGGAUCUCU